rnacentral:snoRNA from 1 species
AGCGCGCAUCGUGAGAGCCUGGAGUUGAGGCCACAGUGACCGACGAGCUCUCAAGCGUAGGUAGUGUGCUACACGAGGGGUAAGUUCUUCGCUAACACCACAAGGGUCUCUGGCUCAACGAGUGGCGUUCGAUAGUGAUCCUUGCUACGAGU